AGUGAACGCUGGCGGUAGGCCUAACACAUGCAAGUCGAACGGCAGCACAGGAGAGCUUGCUCCGGUGGAUUAGUGGCGAACGGGUGAGUAACACGUGAGUAACCUGCCCUUGACUCUGGGAUAACUGCGGGAAACUGUAGCUAAUACCGGAUACGACCCUCGGCGGCAUCGCCAGGGGGUGGAAAGAAUUUCGGGCAAGGAUGGACUCGCGGCCUGUCAGCUAGUUGGUGAGGUAACGGCUCACCAAGGCGACGACGGGUAGCCGGCCGGAGAGGGUUACCUGCCACACUGGUGCUGAGACACGUCCCAGACUCCUACGGGAGGCAGCAGUGGGGAAUAUUGCACAAGGGGCGCAAGCCUGAUGCAGCAACGCCGCGUGAGGGAUGACGGCCUUCGGGUUGUAAACCUCUUUUAGUAGGGAAGAAGCGAAAGUGACGGUACCUGCAGAAAAAGCACCGGCUAACUACGUGCCAGCCGCCGCCGUAA
rnacentral:rRNA from 1 species